ACACUGAUAUUGGGUAAAUAAUGUGUAGGAUAGGUGGGAGACUUUGAAGCGUGAUCGCCAGAUUGCGUGGAGUCGUCCUUGAAAUACCACCCUGGUAACGUUGAGGUUCUAACUUAGGUCCCUAAUCGGGAUUGAGGACAGUGUGUGGUGGGUAGUUUGACUGGGGCGGUCUCCUCCCAAAGAGUAACGGAGGAGCACGAAGGUACCCUAAGGACGGUCGGAAAUCGUCCGCUUAGUGUAAUGGCACAAGGGUGCUUGACUGCGAGAGUGACAACUCGAGCAGGUGCGAAAGCAGGUCAUAGUGAUCCGGUGGUUCUGAAUGGAAGGGCC
rnacentral:rRNA from 1 species